rnacentral:rRNA from 1 species
GCAGGGUUGCGCCUGGUUAGUAUUUGGAUGGGAGACCACCUAGAAAGAUCAGGUACUGUAGGCA